AUUGAACGCUGGCGGCAGGCCUAACACAUGCAAGUCGAGCGGCAGAAGAGUGAGAGCUCGCGGCUUCGGGUGGCGACGGGCGGGUGGGUGAUAGGUACAUCGGUGGCUGUUGGGGCUAGGGUGAGGACGUGGGGGCUCAUACGCUAAUAGCGCAUACGGCGAACGGGUGGGAUCAGCGGAUCUUCCGAUAUUGCGUGAUCCGAUGAGGGAUUAGCUAGUUGGUGGGGUAAAGGCCUACCAAGGCGACGAUCCGUCGCUGGUCUGCGGGGAUGAGCAGGCACACUGGAACUGAGACACGGUCCAGACUCCUACGGGAGGCAGCAGUGGGGAAUAUUGGACAAUGGGCGGAAGCCUGAUCCAGCCAUGCCGCGUGGGUGAAGAAGGCCUUCGGGUUGUAAAGCCCUUUUGUUUGGGAAGAAAAGCAGUAGGUUAAUACCUCGCUGUUCUGACGGUACCAAAAGAAUAAGCACCGGCUAACUUCGUG
rnacentral:rRNA from 1 species